rnacentral:rRNA from 1 species
UACGUAGGGUGCGAGCGUUAAUCGGAAUUACUGGGCGUAAAGCGUGCGCAGGCGGUUUUGUAAGACAGGCGUGAAAUCCCCGAGCUCAACUUGGGAAUUGCGCUUGUGACUGCAAGGCUAGAGUGUGUCAGGAGGGGGGUAGAAUUCCACGUGUAGCAGUGAAAAUGCGUAGAGAUGUGGAGGAAUACCGAUGGCGAAGGCAGCCCCCUGGGACAUGACUGACGCUCAUGCACGAAAGCGUGGGGAGCAAACAGG